UGGGUCCCAGCUAGAGUUUCUCUCGGCUUUCCCGGUCGCCGUUCCUGCCUCCCUCCGGACCUUCAAGUGGAGGCGCAAUUUCAUUGCAGGUUGCCGAAAGAAGAGGCCAUCUAUCACCUAAAUCUGCCUCAAAGUCACACACAGCAUUACAAUUUGGAAAUUAGGAAUCUUCUUACGAAGAGCAUAGGGUGUGAAGUACUUACUAAAAACAGGAACUUGCUGGGCAAAAGAUACCAGAUGGAAAGGAUUGAACCUUGAUUUGUUUUCAGUUUUAGAAGAAAAUCAACUCGUUUGAGCUGUGGUGCUGGAAAAUGCCCCUGCAUAUUCCUUGGACAGCAGAAGUGACUAGCAAGCAAGUACUGGAGCACACAACACCAGACAUGUAAUUUGAAGGCAAAAAUCACAAAACUGCAUCUCAAUUAUUUUUGCCAUAUCCUGUGGGAGAAUUUACUGGAGAAAGCAAUUAUGCUCAGAAGAGUUAGUAGUAAAAGGAAACCAACCUGCCAAAGAACACAAUGACUGGACACCAUCAAAGUGGACACCAGCCAGAGCAUAGAACAACUCAAAGAAGUAGUGUAAGAUUGGAAGGCAUAGAGAGACCCGGCUCAUAGAAUUGUCAAGAGUCGGACACAGCUGAAUGGAUAAUAUCAUCAUUAUAUUCGGUUUUACUUAUUCUAAAGCAAUUACAUAUAUAAUAUUGUAGAGCUGAUAGAGAAGUAUGCUUUUUCACUAAUAGGAAAUAUUGCAAGAAACAUUCUUAAGACUCAACUAACAGUAAAAAAAAUAACAAAAUGGUUCUUUUCCUCCUAAACUAAAUGGCAAAAUUGCAAUUCUUAGUGGUCAUUUAUUCAAGAAUUUAGAAAAUAUUGUCCCUUAAUUCUUUAUAUCUCUUUAUCUUCUAGAUCUGAUAUUUUGCACCUGAACUUCAGGCUGAUGAACCUCAGUCCUUGUAAAAAAUGAAAAUCUAUCCAUUGUUAUAUGAA